rnacentral:sRNA from 1 species
CCUACUGUUUAAACUUUAAGAUGAUCCCUAACUGGCUUAAAGUCCUCAACCCACAGCAGAGGAAAACGUUGCAGAAAAAAAAAAAAGAAAAACAAGGUCAUGCUGCAUUUUUUUGGUAAGCACAGGAAUCAACAUAGAGAUGUUAUGUAACUUCUAUUUAUAUCCUCCUUGCUCACUAUCUGCAGGCAGACAAGAGUCGCUGAGAAGGGAUUUAAUGAGCUCUCUGGGUUUGCUCACCUUCCUGAGCUGGUAGGAACCAGCUUGUUCUCAAGUGCGUCAGCAAAGAAUCUGCCUGUGGGUGGGCGGCCGGGGUAGGUGGACAGACUUGUUGCCAUGGUGUUCUUUAAUUCCCCUGUCUCUCAG